AGGAAGAUUAUCCGUGCAAUGAGGAUGGAGGAUCCAUCAUUGAUUUGGAUGGGAAGGUCGUUGGACUGUUUAACAAGCACCCUACGGAAUCUUUUGUACCGUCUUAUAUCUUGGAUAAAUGCUUGGAUUUGUGGCUCGAGUUUCGUUGCAUCCCUCGGCUCCAUCUUGGAAUGAAGUUUAUUUCCAUCAAGCUUCUGGACCCCAUACAUGCUGAGAAGUUGUGGCGCAUGUAUAAAAUUGAGGUCGG